CGACGACGGCGACGGCGACGGCGGUGACGCUGAGAAACGCGUGGAAGCGCUGCCAAAAACGUGCGUAGGCGCCGUCGGCACUACCCUCGUCGUUGGAAGUGGCGUGUGGAUGAUAAUAAGGCUUACUCUAGACCUGUCUAUCUCUCUAUUUGUGUCUAUCUUUUUUUGCUCCGUCUCUCUCUCCUUGUCUCGCUCUCACCCUGACUCUCUCUAGCGCUCUCUUCCUCUUCCUUUUACCCUCUUCUCACUCUCCGCUUCUCGCUUUUUCCCUCUCACUCCCACCUGGUGCACAGAAACCUCCAGCCAGCUGAUCGUCGAUGAAAGCCGCGCAAGCGUCGCGACGCCCCGAUAUAGUCGACGGAGUCGACGGUGGCGGCGGCAGCGGUGGAGACGCCGGUGCUGGUUGCACGUUUCCUGCCUCGGCAACGUGCUACGCCGAUGCUACAUACACUCUCCUGCUCGACGCGAGUGACUCCUCUCGCUAGAAAUACUCGCCUUGCUUCGGGAGCGACAUCGUCUCGCCACGGGAGUCCGCGCAACCCCUGGAACGAGUGAACCAAGGUUGGUGGUUCGUCACGGCGCGAAGACGAUGCUCGGUUUGUCGAUGAAGUACGACUCUUCAUUGUUCCUGAAAGGGUUGUUUUUGAAAGCUAACGGAGUCCUCUGCGGCCGCUCGAUUUUCAACGUCCAGGGCCGCACGAAGCCCUGCCUGACGCCGACCUUAAGCCGAAGACGCGUCACGUCGGAGACACAUCGCUUCAACCUUGACCUUCAACCUGAAUGCGUUGGUGGCGCGCUCGAUUCCGCGGCCGCCUCGCAAUUCAGCCACGAUUUAGGUUUGUUUGGCGAACAAGCACGUGGAGACAUGGCUCGUCAAUCAUGGCGCAUUAUUGUGGCGACACACGGACGCCGAUGCGAGAGAAAGACAGAGACCAAUUCCUCCUCCACCUACCCUCUCUCUUCCUCUCUCUCUCUCUCUCUCUCUCUUUCUCUUGAGGCUGUAAACACCGUAAAGAGUUUGGCGAAAAUUAAUCGCCGCGCAACACGUUUCUCGCGCAACGACAAUGACGUCGUUACCGACGCGCGAUAGGAAAUGCGGCUAGAUAAGGAUUUAUUGCGACCGACUUGCGUAACGCGAAACUUAUCUCAGGCUGGCGCUAUACUCGCGCGACUGACGUACGAUUCGCGAACGCAUCGGUUGUUUGCAGAAGACGAUGGAAGAGCGCCACUCGCUCACGCCCUUGCUACCCUUGCUCCCGCCGCGCUUAUCUUCCCACCUCGUACAUACGCCUCUUAUACCGCGUGUUUAUCAAGAUCUAACGGCUUACCGAGAAACCCUCGACACCGUUUCGCACGGUUAUACGCUUGUCGUGCGCGGUAGCGGACGCAAAUCCGCCCGUGAACAUAAAAAUCGUUUGCUUCGAGCGCCGCAUAUUCGAACGCCGCUCGGCGCGCCUCUCUCCAUCUUCCCCCGGCACCCUCCGUAGAGGAAGGUUUUCACUUCGUUGCGUUUUGAAAGCAUUAAUUCAUUUGCACGGUUAAUUAAUUAGACUUACAUUAAAGCGACUAACGAUUCGAUCUCGCUUGGCGCCGCUCGUUGUUUUUCCUUUUUUUUAGCGCGAGCUCAAUAAAAGGAGUCACCCGACUGGAAAUCACGAUCUGUUUGUCGACGCUGUUUGCACAUCGCUGUGGCGGCGCGAGAAAUCGCUUGUUUGUGUAUCGAUAAGGAGCGAUCAGCGAAGCGCGCCGAUAAGAAACGAUCCUCAGCGUUCGUCCUUGCGGAGCGAAUCGUAUGUUUGCAAGUGAUGAAUUAGUACGCGACUGUUUGAUUUAGGGCCUCAUUAUCACGCGUUAUCCGCUGAAAAAUCGCAGCGCAACGAUAAAAGUAGCGCGAACCGUUCGGAAAAUCGUUCUCUAAGGUAAGUGCUGCCAAUGAUUAAACUAAUAAGAAAACACGAUCAGUCUUACAUCUUUAUCAAUAAAUCAUUAAUGGAAUUACGAACCAAAGUGACGUUCACGUGCGUUCAAAAACUUUGGUUCACCAGCGUUCAAAAAAUACAAUAGGAGAGAAAUGAAAUAAUCAAUAAAUAUCAGUUACUAGCUGAAACCCGACGUUGCCCGAGUUAUCGCAAAGUGUCAAGGGGAUGAAAUCAGUGGGAGGGAGUUGGAUGUCCAGGUUUCACAUAGUCUGUAUUUUCCGCAGGAUCCUAGAGAGUAAUUAUGCAAAAUUUCGCCCAGAUUGAUCAGUCAAAGGAUUUAGGACUGUAUGGAGAAUACAAACAUACAGACACAUUCUAUUAUUAUACAUAUAGAUAAAAUUAAUGAUAUAUUAGAUAAUGCCAAUUAUACCAACAAUAUUAAGCUGAAAAAUGAAUCACGUCCUAAUUAUCGAAUAAUACAGACUCAGUGAUUGAAUCAUUAAAUAACAUUACGAAUUGGAGCAUUAAAAAAAAUCUCUCUUAACGAAAUUUUAAAGGCUUUUCCAGAAGUACUAAAUAAAAGUGUGUCAUUAAUGUUUCAAUCAUUGGGACAAUGUUCAAUUACUGAGACAUUUAUCUUACCUCGUGUGUCUGUUCUCCGCUCGUUUGCGCGCACAGUGUCACUGACGCUUGCUCCCAUUCUCGUUCCCGUUAACGACGACGGGGUUAAGAAGCAGGUCGAUUUUUCUCAGACGAAUAUUUCACGCGGGACCAUUGUCUCCGCGGUGAUAACGUUAGCCACCUGUAUAAUUAAUCGACGUGCAUUCAGCCUCAAUAUUCAUGCCUUGAGAAAGAGACAGCUCGCGUCCUCCCUGCGCGUUUCGUCCGCCGCACCCUCCAACUUUUCACCUUCAUCUCGUGACUGUGUGUGUGUGGAUUCGCGAGCGAAGAAGUCGUUCUGCGGAUUUAUCCGAGGAAUUCGCCGCUAAUGGUCAUCAACGACAACGUUGGCGCACCCCUUAUAUUUAUUUCUCCUCUGCCAUCUCCCUCGCCGUCGUUGGUCUCACCCUCUCCAUCCAACGACGUAGUCCUCUGAUGCCUCUCGUCUCUCAGUGACACGCUCGCGUCCGCGUUUCAUAUCGUUUCGUGGCGUAUCGAUUUUACGCCGCGUGCAACCUUGGAUUGUCGCGCGCGCGUUUUUCGGCUCUGUACCGCCGUGUAAUCGACGGAUUAUUUUCGCGUUCGCAUCGAGCGUGGCUGUUCCCCGAGCGGGACACCGGCUGAGAGUACACGACAGUGAGCGCGAAUCGAUGAGGGUGGACUUUGGGCCUCGGAGGAAUCCGGGCGAACGCGUGCAGCCCCGACGCUCGUCGGCUACAUCGAACCUACAAUUUCGACGUCGUUAUAUAUUCGUGACGGACCGCGCGGCGGCGAAUGGCGGCCCUAACGAAGAAGCAGACACAACAUCGAUCGGGGCAGUUCAUCGCCGGUGUCGGCCAGACACACACGCGCCGCGCGGCCCGGAUUCCGAAUUCACCGUCGUCGGCUGCGUGACGAUUGUGUGCGGCAUUAACCGCGGCUUAUCCUGAAAUUAGCCUGCCGGGUAUCGUUUCCCGUAUACGACGGCAACGCUAUGAUACGGACGGAGGUCGCGCGACGGCAGGGCAAGGGUUGGUACGCCGGCAACAACCCUGCCGGGAACGACCGCUUGUUGCGGACGAAGCACGCAAUCGUAUAACGUACGACACUUCCCGUGCUCCAUAAUUUAAAGGGCAUUCUGGACUCGCGUCGAGACCGGCAUAGUCAGGAAUUAUGACCGUCGUGGACUUUUAAUCAGAUCGGGCUCGGCGCAUGUUAACAAUGCCCCCGCCGAGAGACGCUCGCAUGCGGUCCGCGCUUCCGCAAUUGAAACAACAGUUGCAGACGGCGUUGAAAUAUAUUGCGCGAAUCAAGUGUAACAUUGCGACGACGUAAUACACACACACAUACACACAAGUCUCGAUACACGAGACUUUGGUAACAUUAAAAUUCGAGAACCCGAUGUUCAAAGGUGGACUCGACUAGAAAUUUAUCCCAUUAUCCUGAUCAGGUUGAUCCCAGUCAGUUAUUUAGUAUGUACAAGGUACAUAUCAUGUUAUCUCUAACUGUACAUGUUAUCUGUAACUGUUAACAUUGAUACAUCUAAUUGUUAAAUUUUGAUUAAGAAUCUUUAUUAUUAACAAGAUCGUGAUUGCGUUGCAUAACUUAUCAGAAUUCGAUAACGUCACUCAAUACAUUGAGAGAAAAAAAUCUAAAGAACAAAAAAUAUUUAUCCGGUGGGUAUUAAUAAUAAAUUUACUUAAAUCUAAAUUCUUUCAUUUAAAUAGAAUGAAUGUAUAUUUUUUGAGAAUGUAUAUUUUCUUAUUUGAAAAACAUUUUAUAUUAGAGUAUAAGUAAAUAUGUUACAUAUAUAUAAUUAAAAAAAAUAUAUAUAUAUAUAUGUAUAUAUGACAUCCACUGAAUAUUUUUGAUUGGGAUCAACUGGAUCAGGACCGUGGGACAAAUUUCCAGUAUCUACUGAUUAAUUUCUCCAUACCGUAUAUUCGGCUUUAUUACAUAAGCAUUAGAGGUAAACGCGCGAUGUAGCGUAAUGAUGUUCUAAAUAAAACCAAAUGCAGCAGA